UCACUAGUAGAUGGACCUGCGUUGUAUUAGCUAGUUGGUGAGGUAACGGCUCACCAAGGCNACGAUACAUAGCCGACCUGAGAGGGUGAUCGGCCACACUGGGACUGAGACACGGCCCAGACUCCUACGGGAGGCAGCAGUAGGGAAUCUUCGGCAAUGGGGGCAACCCUGACCGAGCAACGCCGCGUGAGUGAAGAAGGUUUUCGGAUCGUAAAGCUCUGUUGU
rnacentral:rRNA from 1 species